GCGGGAAUAGCUCAGUUGGUAGAGCACAACCUUGCCAAGGUUGGGGUCGCGAGUUCGAGUCUCGUUUUCCGCUCAA
rnacentral:tRNA from 3 species